rnacentral:rRNA from 1 species
AUGUGUGUGCUUGACGCAGAUGGUGCGGCCGCCGUGGAGAGUCUUAGGGCAGAACUUGCCCGAGCUAAAGAACAAGCCAGAGAAAGUGAUGCGGCUGCCAAGAAAGCCCUUGAAGAGCUGAGAGCCGAACAGGCUGCUCAUUGCCGAAGCAAGGAAGAGAUGGCCGAGAUGGCCGAAAAGUUAAAGAGCGCUGCAGACCUUCUUGAGAAAGGAGACCAGGCGAAACAGACGUACUUAGAGAAGGCCGUUGCCAAUGCCAAGGAUGCGUGCUCUGCGAUGAGAGCUGCGAAGGAGGAGCUGCGUCAGGCCGAAUAG